rnacentral:tRNA from 1 species
GGAUAGGUAUAAAGGUAAUGGUACCCCUCUGGUCUUGAAAACCAGAAACGAUUAAAAGCGUUUGUAGGUUCGAGUCCUACCCUAUCCG